rnacentral:rRNA from 1 species
GUCUCUUUGAAGUAGUACCAUAAGGAGUCUGGCCUGCCCAGUGAUGUGAUUUUUAACGGCCGCGGUAUUUUGACCGUGCAAAGGUAGCAUAAUAAUUUGCUUUUUAAUUGAAGGCUAGAAUGAAUGGUUAGACGAGAGUAAAACUGUCUCUUUUAUAUUUAUUAGAAAUUAUCUUUUGGGUUAAAAGGCCCAAAUACUACUAAAAGACGAGAAGACCCUGUUGAGCUUUUAAAAAAGUAAGAUAACUAAUUAUCCUAGAAAUUUAUAGUUAUUUCAAAAUUUUAGUUGGGGCGACUGUGGAGUAAAAAAAACCUCCAUUUACUAAGAGAUAAUCUACUAUUUUUGAUCCAUUGUUUAUGAUAAAAGAAAUUAGUUACCAAAGGGAUAACAGCGUAAUUCUCUUUGAGAGGCCUUAUCGAUAAGAGAGAUUGCGACCUCGAUGUUGGAUUAAAAUAUACUGAAAGAUGCAGAAGUUUUUUAAGUUAGUCUGUUCGACUAUUGAAAUUUU